rnacentral:lncRNA from 1 species
CGUCUCUCUGAACCCCCUCGACCAUUUCGAGCUUCCGAACUUCUCCGAUAAUGAGCUUCUCCAUCCAUUUACCGGACUGCUCCAAAGGCUCUCUAGGCCUCACUAUCAGCCGACCUUCUACAGUGAUCAACUAUUCUCCGAACUUUUUUCGGACUUCGUCGAUAUCUGAGCUUCUUUGACAACGAGAUUGCUACAAUAAUCAGACUCCA